rnacentral:rRNA from 1 species
UACAGAGGUGGCAAGCGUUGUUCGGAAUUACUGGGCGUAAAGAGCGCGCAGGCGGUCGUUCAAGUCGAGUGUGAAAGCCCCCCGGCUCAACUGGGGAGGGUCACUCGAUACUGAUCGACUCGAAGGCAGGAGAGGGUAGUGGAAUUCCCGGUGUAGUGGUGAAAUGCGCAGAUAUCAGGAAGAACACCCCGUGGCGAAGGCGGCUCUCUGGGACGGUACUGACGCUGAGACGCGAAAGCGUGGGGAGCGAACAGG